GCGUAGUCGAUGGGAAACGGGUUAAUAUUCCCGUACUUGGUGUUACUGCGAAGGGGGGACGGAGAAGGCUAUGUUGGCCGGGCGACGGUUGUCCCGGUUUAAGCGUGUAGGUAUGUGUUCCAGGUAAAUCCGGUUCACUUUAACACUGAGGCGUGACGACGAGGCACUACGGUGCUGAAGCAACAAAUGCCCUGCUUCCAGGAAAAGCCUCUAAGCAUCAGGUAACAUCAAAUCGUACCCCAAACCGACACAGGUGGUCAGGUAGAGAAUACCAAGGCGCUUGAGAGAACUCGGGUGAAGGAACUAGGCAAAAUGGUGCCGUAACUUCGGGAGAAGGCACGCUGACACGUAGGUGAAGUGAUUUACUCACGGAGCUGAAGUCAGCCGAAGAUACCAGCUGGCUGCAACUGUUUAUUAAAAACACAGCACUGUGCAAACACGAAAGUGGACGUAUACGGUGUGACGCCUGCCCGGUGCCGGAAGGUUAAUUGAUGGGGUCAGCGCAAGCGAAGCUCCUGAUCGAAGCCCCGGUAAACGGCGGCCGUAACUAUAACGGUCCUAAGGUAGCGAAAUUCCUUGUCGGGUAAGUUCCGACCUGCACGAAUGGCGUAAUGAUGGCCAGGCUGUCUCCACCCGAGACUCAGUGAAAUUGAACUCGCUGUGAAGAUGCAGUGUACCCGCGGCAAGACGGAAAGACCCCGUGAACCUUUACUAUAGCUUGACACUGAACAUUGAGCCUUGAUGUGUAGGAUAGGUGGGAGGCUUUGAAGUGUGGACGCCAGUCUGCAUGGAGCCGACCUUGAAAUACCACCCUUUAAUGUUUGAUGUUCUAACGUGGACCCGUGAUCCGGGUUGCGGACAGUGUCUGGUGGGUAGUUUGACUGGGGCGGUCUCCUCCUAAAGAGUAACGGAGGAGCACGAAGGUUGGCUAAUCCUGGUCGGACAUCAGGAGGUUAGUGCAAUGGCAUAAGCCAGCUUGACUGCGAGCGUGACGGCGCGAGCAGGUGCGAAAGCAGGUCAUAGUGAUCCGGUGGUUCUGAAUGGAAGGGCCAUCGCUCAACGGAUAAAAGGUACUCCGGGGAUAACAGGCUGAUACCGCCCAAGAGUUCAUAUCGACGGCGGUGUUUGGCACCUCGAUGUCGGCUCAUCACAUCCUGGGGCUGAAGUAGGUCCCAAGGGUAUGGCUGUUCGCCAUUUAAAGUGGUACGCGAGCUGGGUUUAGAACGUCGUGAGACAGUUCGGUCCCUAUCUGCCGUGGGCGCUGGAGAACUGAGGGGGGCUGCUCCUAGUACGAGAGGACCGGAGUGGACGCAUCACUGGUGUUCGGGUUGUCAUGCCAAUGGCACUGCCCGGUAGCUAAAUGCGGAAGAGAUAAGUGCUGAAAGCAUCUAAGCACGAAACUUGCCCCGAGAUGAGUUCUCCCUGAGACUUUAGGUCUCCUGAAGGAACGUUGAAGACGACGACGUUGAUAGGCCGGGUGUGUAAGCGCAGCGAUGCGUUGAGCUAACCGGUACUAAUGAACCGUGAGGCUUAACCUU
rnacentral:rRNA from 1 species